rnacentral:lncRNA from 1 species
UAAAUAAUUUGAGGGAUUGUGUUAGCAUAUAAAAACGCACCCAAAGGUGAGUACAUAGUUCCCCUAUUUUACUGUUUUCAAUUGUUUUGGGGUGAUUCAUAUGUAUCAAAACGAUUUCGAUGUUUUAACGAUGGUUUCACAACGAGUGAAGUUGCUUAGUGUUGAUUGCGAAUAGGAAGCAUGCUCACUUAGGACCGGACGAGGCCUUAGUGAUUUAAUAAUGAUAUUAGUCUAUGUUUGAUUUGCUUGUUUAACUUUAAAACAAUGUUUAAUAUUUAAUGAAAUGAAACUCUUCGUAUCCAUGGUUUGAAACAAUAAUUCUGUUACAACACUCCCCGGCGUUUCCGCCACGAUUUGUCGUUUUACGUGGUGGGGGUGUGACAGAAGAGUUGGUAUCAGAGCCAAUGGUUAUAGAGAAUUAGGUUAUUAGUAAAAAUUUCGACCUAGACUAUAACUUUCUAGGACCCCAACGCAAGUUGAUUUGCGUUUAGGAUUAAAAAAAAACGAAAUCCGAAUCUGCUUCAAAAAUUAAUCGUCCGUUCUAGGAUGAUUAAUUACUAGGUUUUGAACCCUCCUAUUUUGAUUCAUUUUUGGCUUAGUGCCUUCUGAGUU